AGUCGAACGAUGAACCACUUCGGUGGGGAUUAGUGGCGAACGGGUGAGUAACACGUGGGCAAUCUGCCCUGCACUCUGGGACAAGCCCUGGAAACGGGGUCUAAUACCGGAUACUGAUCCUCGCAGGCAUCUGCGAGGUUCGAAAGCUCCGGCGGUGCAGGAUGAGCCCGCGGCCUAUCAGCUAGUUGGUGAGGUAACGGCUCACCAAGGCGACGACGGGUAGCCGGCCUGAGAGGGCGACCGGCCACACUGGGACUGAGACACGGCCCAGACUCCUACGGGAGGCAGCAGUGGGGAAUAUUGCACAAUGGGCGAAAGCCUGAUGCAGCGACGCCGCGUGAGGGAUGACGGCCUUCGGGUUGUAAACCUCUUUCAGCAGGGAAGAAGCGAAAGUGACGGUACCUGCAGAAGAAGCGCCGGCUAACUACGUGCCAGCAGCCGCGGUAAUACGUAGGGCGCAAGCGUUGUCCGGAAUUAUUGGGCGUAAAGAGCUCGUAGGCGGCUUGUCACGUCGGUUGUGAAAGCCCGGGGCUUAACCCCGGGUCUGCAGUCGAUACGGGCAGGCUAGAGUUCGGUAGGGGAGAUCGGAAUUCCUGGUGUAGCGGUGAAAUGCGCAGAUAUCAGGAGGAACACCGGUGGCGAAGGCGGAUCUCUGGGCCGAUACUGACGCUGAGGAGCGAAAGCGUGGGGAGCGAACAGGAUUAGAUACCCUGGUAGUCCACGCCGUAAACGGUGGGCACUAGGUGUGGGCAACAUUCCACGUUGUCCGUGCCGCAGCUAACGCAUUAAGUGCGCCGCCUGGGGAGUACGGCCGCAAGGCUAAAACUCACAGGAAUUGACGGGGGCCCGCACAAUCGGCGGAGCAUGUGGCUUAAUUCGACGCAACGCGAAGAAACUUACCAAGGCUUGACAUACACCGGAGAACCUGGAGACAGGUCGGCUUGUGGUCGGUGUACAGAUGAUGCAUGGCUGUCGUCAUCUCGUGUCGUGACAUGUUGGUGUUA
rnacentral:rRNA from 1 species